UGACAGACUUGCAACCGGCGCGGCACAAAGUCAUAACCGCCUGCAGUACCAUCUUCUCCACGCAUAUACGUACCAGAGAAAAUUCUUUGCAGGGACCCUAACCUAGACCGUAAACCCUACCAAGACCGACUCACCCACCAUGAACGACCACAUAACCAUUGAACCCCACCACAGCCCAAAUCCUCAGAGGCUCCGAACAUUCACUGUACACUUCUUCCACAACCACCAUAUCCACGUCACUCUCACUUCCACCCCCGCCGUCGUCCGUGGAUGGCUUCAUAAAGUCCGUCCCCUCUUCUUCACCCACAUUCACAGCCGCCGCCUCGUCGUCGGUCUCGGCGUCCAGUGGAACCCCUAUUCUGCCUCUGCCGCAACUCUCCAGCUUUGCAUUGGCCACCGCUGCCUCGUCUUCCAGCUCUUCCACGCGCCCCGCGUCCCCCGUUUCCUCCGGCUUUUCCUCUCCAACACCGACAACACCUUCGUUGGCGUCUGGAACCACAGAGACAAGGACAUGCUCCUCGACUCCAAGCACGAGCUAUCGGUCUCAAACCUCGUUGACGUUCGUGAUGUGGUGGCCGCGACGAAGGGCUGGAGUAGGAGUCUCUCGAUGGAGGAGUUGACAGGCCGUAUUUUGGGUUUCAAGGACGUGGAGAAGCCCGAGCGGAUUGGUAGGAGUGCUUAGGAUAAUUACUGGCUUAGCGAGCAGCAGGUCCAGUAUGCAAGCGUCGACGCUUAUCUUUCUUUCUCAAUGGGAAAGGCUUUGAAUGUGCGGAAAUGGCCUGAUUUGAUGAGUUUUUGAUGGUAUGUUUUGAACAGAGCAAUUUAAACUAAAGAUUGUUAGGACUAUUUAAUCUUGGAAAUGGAACUGACAUGGUAGUGGUGUGCAUCUCGGGCUUUGAUGCACUCUGAGUCAUGUAUCAUACUCAAUAUAAUAAGUUACAUUUUCUUGUGUUAAAACUAUCUUUUAGAAAUAUUACAGUUGUGAUCUAUCAGAAUUUGUGAUAGUUUUAGGUUUAUUGACGCUGUGCUAGGGUGCUUGU